rnacentral:tRNA from 1 species
AGGAAUAUAGCUCAGUUGGUAGAGCAUCGGACAAUACAAAAAAGAGUCUAGUUAUAGACUUGAACAGCAAAUUAUAAAACUCUGACUGUCGUUGGUUCGAAUCCAACUAUUCCUCA